UUGGAUGAUGAAUGAAUGGAUCGGUUUGUGGUACAAUUCUUAAAAUUGUAGUAGAGGAGACAGAGAAAAAACAUGAUAAGACUUUGGUAUUUACAACUUGACGGAGACAAGACAGUAAGCCAAAUCUGUCACAAAAACACUCAAACUCUUUUCUCAGUGUUUUGAGUUUAAAGAGAGACUUAUUCACUUCCCCUUUCGUAACACUUAUUUGUCUCCCAACCAAACAGUUUCUGUCCUUUCCCUUGUCCUCCCACGUGCAUCUUUAUAUCUCAUGACUUUUCGUUUCUAGAUCUUGAAUAAUGUCUUAGUGGAUUAGGUUUGUUGUCGG